GUGCUUGCUCAGGCAGCACAUAUGACAAAAUUGGAACGAUACAAAAGAAGAUUAGCAUGGCCCCCGCCUGACCGCGCAUAAUUCGGUGAAGCGUUACCACAUUUU